AUGGAACGAUACAAAACAAGAGUAGCGUUUGGACAUGAAACACACAACCAAUACUGCCUGGGGAGUGGAACGAAGGGAGCGACAGAUAUAGGGGAGGUAAACAGUGAAGGAGUCCAGGUGAGUCUCAUAAUGAGGCGCUUUGGGGGGGUAACGAUGGUGCCAGGUGUACAUAAUGAUGGUUGUCAGAGGCAGUGAUUUGUAAAUCUGCGACGUCGAGCGCCGGAGAGGGGGAGCGGGAGUAGGCGUGACAGUACCCCCCCAUCCGUCCGUCCCCGUCGUGGGGACAGUUUGAGCCAGGGGACCAGGAACCACCGGCCUGAGAAGGGAGACAUGAAAGGAAGGUGAGAUACGAUAGUCACUGGGGAGCUGUAAUCCAUACGUCACCUCGUUGACCCUCCGGAGAACCUUGAACGGCCCCACAAACCGGGGUUCAGCUUCUUGCAGGGCAGGCGGAGUGGGAGGUUCCUGGUAGAGAGCCAAACACGAUGGAACACGGGAGUUUCACUGCGGUGGCGAUCCUCCUACUCCUGACAUUGGACGGCGCGCUGGAGUCUCACAUGGGUAUCGCUCCACACUUCUUCUGUGUGCCUAAACCACCGCAGGAGCUUCGGUCUGGCCCGGGUCCACGGAGCCAGGACCGUCUGAUAACCCAGAACACACUGGAAUGGAGUCAGUCUGGUGGAGGAGUGACGUAACAAAUUCUGGGCAUACUCUGCCCACAGAAGGAAUCGGGCCCACUCCCCCUGCCGGUCCUGGCAGUGGCUCCUCAGGAACCUCCCCAGCUCCUGGUUCAUCCUCUCCGCCUGCCCUUUAGACUGAGGCCUAUACCCGGAAGUGAGGCUGACCGUGACCUCAAGCUUCUCCAUGAAGGCUCUUCAUGUCCGUGAUGUCAAAUUGGGAGCAACAGUCGGAGACGAUGUUCUCCCGAAGGCCAUAAUGCCAGAAGACCUGCUGGAACGCUGCCUCAGCGACCUGGAGAGCAGUAGGGAGACCAGAGAGAGGGAUAAAAUGGCAGGAUUUAGAGAAUCUAUCUGCAACCACCAAAAUGGUGGCGAUACAAUCAGAGGAGGGGAGAUAAGUGACACAAUCAAUGGACAGAUGUUACCAGGGAUGCUGAGGCACGGAAGGAGUUUCCCUGCUGGAGCGUGCCAGGGCACAUACGGAACAGGAGUUGACGUACUGAAUAACAUCUUGCGCCAAGGUGGGCCACCAAUACUUUUUGGAGAGAGAUUGUAUAGUACGGAUGGUCCCUGGAUUUACAGCGACAAUAGCUGUGUGCGCCCAAGUUAGCAGCCGAUCCCUUAUCCCCGUGGGAGGUAGUGGGUGCGGUUUCCCUUUCCAGAGCCUGGCGAAUGUCCACAUCAAUGUCACAGACCACAGGAGCUAUGACUCGAGAGGGGACGGGAUAGCAGUUCCUCCGGCAUUCAGGUGACCAGUCUGUGAUUCUCAUCCUCGACCAUACGAUGGUGGGGUUAUGGUGUUGGAGCCAUGGGAGGCAGAGGAGCUGGUGCACUAGUGAUGAAGGGAAUGUUUUCCUGAUGAAUGGACUCCACGAUGAGGGUGAGGGGCGUGAUGAUGUGUGAUGGUUCCGGAUCCUGGUGGGCAAUUAUCAAAGGCUUGAUCCGGAAACAGAGAGAAGAGCGGGUAAGAGUCUGGUCAUUAAAGUUCCCAGUGGCACCAGAAUCCACAAGUUCUGUAUAAACAGUACAUGAGGGACAGCCAGCUAGUGUGACCGACACUAAAAAGUGUUUGGCAGAAAAUUCUGAAAAUGGGAUACUCACAACUGCCCCAGGAGGUGGAUGAUCACGUGACCGUCUCUCUGCUCUCGUGGAUCCCGAGUUGGGAAGUACCGGACAUUGCUGAAGCUGGUGCCCCCCUUGACCACAAUAGGGACAGAGCCCCAGCUGUUUCCGUCUGCGUUGUUCAGGCUCCAAGGAGAGGUUGUCGUCUCGACAUGCCAGUUGUGUCUGGACCUUCUCGCGCAGUCCUCUUCUGAAUAGCGUACGGAGCGCCGGCUCAUUCCAUCCGCUGGAUGCUGCUACAGUCUGGAAGGUGAGCGUGUACUCGGCAGCGUUCUGGUCAUUCCUGCCGUAGUUGGAAUAGGCGCUCACUCCCCUCUCUGCCCUACGGCGGAUGAACGAAGAUACCUCUGAACAGAGCCAUGAACCCCUCAUACGAAGCCAGCUCCUCCUCUCUUCUCUCCCAGAUGGCUGUAGCCCACUCCAACGCCCGCCCAGUCAGCAGAGAAAUAACCAAGGCAACCUGGGACCUCUCGGUGGUGAGGGCUCCCAUCUGUUGCGCAAAAUAGAGGGAGCACUUAAGUAGGAAGCCACUUAGAUGGGAUUCCGUGCUUGUACCAAUCCUCUACUCCGUCAUAUUUAUCCGGGAGGGACAAAUGGGCAGUGCUGACCUGGGCGGACUGCUGAAUGGACUGGCUCGCUGGGUCGACUGGUGGCAGAGUAUCCUCUGCUAGUUGAAGGUUGUCAGAUGCAGUGAUUACAGCUACCAUAGAGCAUCCUGACACAUCUACAACUAUCGUACAUCCUCUGACACCUCUACCCAUGGCUCCAAAUGUUCACCACCCCCUGAUAUCUCUACCCACGGCCCCAAAUGUUCACCACCCCCUGAUAGCUCUACCCACGGCUCCAAAUGUUCACCACCCCCUGAUAGCUCUACCCACGGCUCCAAAUGUUCACCACCCCCUGAUAGCUCUACCCACGGCUCCAAAUGUUCACCACCCCCUGAUAGCUCUACCCACGGCUCCAAAUGUUCACCACCCCCUGAUAGCUCUACCCAUGGCUCCAAAUGUUCACCACCCCCUGAUACCUCAACCCACGGCUCCAAAUGUUCACCACCCCCUGAUACCUCUACCCAUGGCUCCAAAUGUUUCACCACCCCCUGAAACCUCUACCCACGGUUCCAAAUGUUCACCACCCCCUGAUACCUCUACCCACGGCUCCAAAUGUUUCACCACCCCCUGACACCAACACACCUCUGUUGCACAGUCACUCUCUGUCUCCCUAAAACCACAUCUUUCACAAAUCUAAAUGAACUGUAAGUCUGUAAAUCUAUUAAUGAGGAAAAGUUCUGCUUCAAUAUGAUCAGUUCCUCAGUACCCUCUUUCUUCAUGUUAAGUGUAUUGAGACAGCAAACAGUACUGGUCGGAAAACAUCCAAAAGAUCACAUUCUUUAUCAAAUAAGACGUGAGAUGUGAUGUUCAGAGAGAGUAAAAAAAGGGAGCACUAGAAGAUCUAUUGAAAUAAUCCACCGUCGGACCGGGAGCAAGGCUUUGGGUACAGACAGUGUCCUCUGGUUAUCUCCUGUCAGAGAGAGCUUGGAGGUUGGUUGGAGAUGGAAAGCAGACAGUUGCAGGGAUCAGGACACACCAUGUUCCUCUGGUACAGGGCUUCUAGGUCUGAUUGUCUGGGUACAGAGCUCUGAGUAGAGGGCUCUGGGUCUGGGUGUCUGGGUAGAGGGCUCUGGGUCUGGGUGUCUGGGUAGAGGGCUCUGGGUCUGGGUGUCUGGGCAGAGGGCUCUGGGUUUGGAUGUCUGGGUAGAGGACUCUGGGUCUGGGUGUCUGGGUAGAGGGCUCUGGGUUUGGGUGUCUGGGCAGAGGGCUCUGGGUUUGGGUACAGGGCUCUGGGUCUGGGUGUCUGGGUAGAGGGCUCUGGGUCUGAUUGUCUGGGUACAGGGCUCUGAGUAGAGGGCUCUGGGUCUGGGUGUCUGGGUAGAGGGCUCUGGGUCUGGGUGGAGGGCUCUGGGUCUGGGUAGAGGGCUCUGGGUCUGGGUGUCUGGGUAGAGGGCUCUGGGUGUCUGGGUAGAGGGUUCUGGGUCCGGGUGUCUGGGUAGAGGGCUCUGGGUCCGAGUGUCUGGGUAGAGGGCUCUGGGUGUCUGGGUACAGGGCUCUGGGUCUGAUUGUCUGGGUACAGGGCUCUGGGUCUGGGUGUCUGGGUAAAGGACUCUGGGUCUGGGUGUCUGGGUAGAGGGCUCUGGGUCUGGGAACCUGGGUAUCUGGGUAGAGGUGUCUGGGUAGAGGGCUCUGGGUCUGGGUGUCUGGGCAGAGGGCUCUGGGUUUGGAUGUCUGGGUAGAGGACUCUGGGUCUGGGUGUCUGGGUAGAGGGCUCUGGGUUUAGGUGUCUGGGCAGAGGGCUCUGGGUUUGGGUACAGGGCUCUGGGUCUGGGUGUCUGGGUAGAGGGCUCUGGGUCUGAUUGUCUGGGUACAGGGCUCUGGGUUUGGGUACAGGGCUCUGGGUCUGGGUACAUGGGUCUGGGUGUCUGGGUAGAGGGCUCUGGGUUUGGGUACAGGGCUCUGGGUCUGGGUGUCUGGGUAGAGGGCUCUGGGUUUUGAGUGAGUCUGGCUGGUCUCUGGGUCUCAGGCUGGUUGUCCUCCUGCUGGUCCUCUGUGCUGCUCUCAGACUCAGUGUUCCUGUGUGUCUGCUGGUACCAGUGUAACAGAGGUUAAAAUAUCUUCCCUCAUAAUAUCAAAUUGGUUUAUUUUCUAUAGCUUAAUCUCAGUCAUUUUGUGACCAGACCAGUCCUCUACUCAGCGAUGUUGAGUGUCUCCUGGUACCAGCUCUACUCUGUCAUGUUGUGUCUCCUGGUACCAAUCCUCUCCUCUAGUUGUGUGUCUGCUGGUACCAGUCCUCUCCUCUGUCCUGUGUGUCUCCUGGUACCAAUCCUCUCCUCUAGUUGUGUGUCUCCUGGUACCAGUCCUCUCCUCUAGUUGUAUGUCUCCUGGUACCAGUCCUCUCCUCUAUCCUGUGUGUCUCCUGGUACCAAUCCUCUCCUCUAGUUGUGUGUCUCCUGGUACCAAUCCUCUCCUCUAGUUGUGUGUCUCCUGGUACCAGUCCUCUUCUCUAGUUGUGUGUCUCCUGGUACCAGUCCUCUCCUCUAGUUGUGUGACUCCUGGUACCAGUCCUCUCCUCUGUCCUGUGUGUCUCCUGGUACCAAUCCUCUCCUCUAGUUGUGUGUCUCCUGGUACCAGUCCUCUCCUCUGUCCUGUGUUUCCUGGUACCAAUCCUCUCCUCUAGUUGUGUGUCUCCUGGUACCAGUCCUCUCCUCUGUCCUGUGUGUCUCCUGGUACCAAUCCUCUUCUCUAGUUGUGUGUCUCCUGGUACCAGUCCUCUCCUCUGUCCUGUGUUUCCUGGUACCAGUCUUCUCCUCUAGUUGUGUCUGCUGGUACCAAUCCUCUCCUCUAGUUGUGUGUCUCCUGGUACAAGUCCUCUCCUCUAGUUGUGUGUCUCCUGGUACCAGUCCUCUCCUCUUGUUGUGUCUCCUGGUACCAGUCCUCUCCUCUAGUUGUGUGUCUCCUGGUACCAGUCCUCUCCUUUAGUUGUGUGUCUGCUGGUACCAGUCCUCUCCUCUAGUUGUGUGUCUCCUGGUACCAAUCCUCUUCUCUAGUUGUGUGAUUCCUGGUACCAGUCCUCUCCUCUAGUUGUGUGUCUCCUGGUACCAGUCCUCUCCUCUGUCCUGUGUUUCCUGGUACCAGUCCUCUCCUCUAGUUGUGUCUGCUGGUACCAGUCCUCUCCUCUAGUUGUGUGUCUCCUGGUACCAAUCCUCUCCUCUAGUUGUGUGUCUCCUGGUACCAGUCCUCUCCUCUAGUUGUGUGUCUCCUGGUACCAGUCCUCUCCUCUAGUUGUGUGUCUCCUGGUACCAGUCCUCUCCUCUAGUUGUGUGUCUCCUGGUACCAGUCCUCUCCCUCUAGUUGCGUGUCUCCUGGUACCAGUCCUCUCCUCUAGUUGUGUGUCUCCUGGUACCAGUCCUCUCCUCUAGUGCUGUGUCUCCUGGUACCAAUCCUCUCCUCUAGUUGUGUGUCUCCUGGUACCAGUCCUCUCCUCUAGUUGUGUGUCUCCUGGUACCAGUCCUCUCCUCUAGUUGUGUG
rnacentral:lncRNA from 1 species